UACAUGGGGUGCAAACGUUGCUCGGAAUUAUUGGGCGUAAAGCGCACGUAGGCGGUCCGUUAAGUCGGAUGUGAAAGCCCCCGGCUCAACCGGGGAAGUGCAUCCGAAACUGGCAGGCUAGAGUACGAAAGAGGGUCGCGGAAUUCCCGGUGUAGAGGUGAAAUUCGUAGAUAUCGGGAGGAACACCGGUGGCGAAGGCGGCGACCUGGGUCGAUACUGACGCUGAGGUGCGGAAGCGUGGGGAGCAAACAGG
rnacentral:rRNA from 1 species